rnacentral:rRNA from 1 species
GAUGAACGCUGGCGGCGUGCCUAAUACAUGCAAGUCGAGCGAACGGACGAGAAGCUUGCUUCUCUGAUGUUAGCGGCGGACGGGUGAGUAACACGUGGAUAACCUACCUAUAAGACUGGGAUAACUUCGGGAAACCGGAGCUAAUACCGGAUAAUAUUUUGAACCGCAUGGUUCAAAAGUGAAAGACGGUCUUGCUGUCACUUAUAGAUGGAUCCGCGCUGCAUUAGCUAGUUGGUAAGGUAACGGCUUACCAAGGCAACGAUGCAUAACCGACCUGAGAGGGUGAUCGGCCACACUGGAACUGAGACACGGUCCAGACUCCUACGGGAGGCAGCAGUAGGGAAUCUUCCGCAAUGGGCGAAAGCCUGACGGAGCAACGCCGCGUGAGUGAUGAAGGUCUUCGGAUCGUAAAACUCUGUUAUUAGGGAAGAACAUAUGUGUAAGUAACUGUGCACAUCUUGACGGUACCUAAUCAGAAAGCCACGGCUAACUACGUG